rnacentral:ncRNA from 1 species
CGUAUCGGAGAAAUGCAGGAAACUGCGUGAAACUCGCCUGUAAUCCCGGCAUCACCGCGCAAGCGGUGUGGCGACUAGCCUUGCUGCUGCGGCAGCGAUCUU